rnacentral:tRNA from 1 species
GUCGGAGCGAUUAAUGCCUUGGCAAAACGCGGGUGUGCUAUCCCGUGGCGUAGGCCUUCGUGGGUUCGAAUCCCACCCCCCGCACCA